rnacentral:rRNA from 2 species
AGCGGCGGACGGGUGAGUAACACGUGGGCAACCUGUACACUAAACCUGGGAUAACACCGGGAAACCGGUGCUAAUACCGGAUAAUCCUUUUCCUCACAUGAGGAAAAGCUGAAAGUCGGUUUCGGCUGACACUUACAGAUGGGCCCGCGGCGCAUUAGCUAGUUGGUGAGGUAACGGCUCACCAAGGCGACGAUGCGUAGCCGACCUGAGAGGGUGAUCGGCCACACUGGGACUGAGACACGGCCCAGACUCCUACGGGAGGCAGCAGUAGGGAAUCUUCCACAAUGGACGAAAGUCUGAUGGAGCAACGCCGCGUGAGCGAUGAAGGCCUUCGGGUCGUAAAGCUCUGUUGUUAGGGAAGAACAAGUACCGGAGUAACUGCCGGUACCUUGACGGUACCUAACCAGAAAGCCACGGCUAACUACGUGCCAGCAGCCGCGGUAAUACGUAGGUGGCAAGCGUUGUCCGGAAUUAUUGGGCGUAAAGCGCGCGCAGGCGGUCCUUUAAGUCUGAUGUGAAAGCCCACGGCUCAACCGUGGAGGGUCAUUGGAAACUGGGGGACUUGAGUGCAGAAGAGGAAAGCGGAAUUCCACGUGUAGCGGUGAAAUGCGUAGAGAUGUGGAGGAACACCAGUGGCGAAGCGGCUUUCUGGUCUGUAACUGACGCUGAGCGCGAAAGCGUGGCGGAGCAAACACGAUUAGAUACCCUGGCUAGUCCACGCCGUAAACGAUGAGAUGCCAGCUGUUACGGGGGGUUCUGCCCCUUAAUGCUUGCAGCUAAUGCCUUAAGCACUUCGAUGGGGGAGUUACCGGCUGCAAGGACUCAAACUCCCAAGAUAUUCGAAUGAGCUCCCACGAUCGAGUGGAGCAGUUGUUUUAUAUCAUAUGAACGACAGCAGCUACGCGUCUGCCGAUCACUGCAGAACUUGUAGCGACGAUCUCUCUGCGACGCAGGACUGAUUGCAUGAUGUCUCGCU